rnacentral:rRNA from 1 species
GACGAACGCUGGCGGCGUGCUUAACACAUGCAAGUCAAACGAUGAAGCUAGAGCUUGCUCUGGUGGAUUAGUGGCGAACGGGUGAGUAACACGUGAGUAACCUGCCCCGAACUCUGGGAUAACUGCUGGAAACGGUAGCUAAUACCGGACAUGACCAAUGAAGGCAUCUUCUGUUGGUGGAAAGAAUUUCGGUUCGGGAUGGACUCGCGGCCUAUCAGCUUGUUGGUGAGGUAACGGCUCACCAAGGCGACGACGGGUAGCCGUGCCUGGGAGGGUGAUCGGCCACACUGGGACUGAGACACGGCCCAGACUCCUACGGGAGGCAGCAGUGGGGAAUAUUGCACAAUGGGCGCAAGCCUGAUGCAGCAACGCCGCGUGAGGGACGACGGCCUUCGGGUUGUAAACCUCUUUUAGUAGGGAAGAAGCGAAAGUGACGGUACCUGCAGAAAAAGCACCGGCUAACUACGUGCCAGCCGCCGCCGUAA